GCGCUUGCUAAAACGAGCAAAAUAAACAGCAGUCUGUACCAGGAACCACCUCCUUCGCCCGCCCGGCUCCCCCCGUGCGGGUUUUUCU
rnacentral:sRNA from 1 species